ACCGUCCUACGGAGCGCAGCAGUAGGGAAUCUUCCGCAAUGGGCGAGAGCCUGAUGGAGCAACGCCGCGUGGGUGAAGAAGGUCUUCGGAUCGUAAAACCCUGUUGUUAGAGAAGAAAGUGCGUGAGAGUAACUGUUCACAUUUCGACGGUAUCUAACCAGAAAGCCACGGCUAACUACGUGCCAGCAGCCGCGGUAAUACGUAGGUGGCAAGCGUUAUCCGGAUUUAUUGGGCGUAAAGGGAACGCAGGCGGUCUUUUAAGUCUGAUGUGAAAGCCUUCGGCUUAACCGGA
rnacentral:rRNA from 1 species